UACGUAGGGGGCAAGCGUUGUCCGGAUUCAUUGGGCGUAAAGAGCUCGUAGGCGGCUUGGCAAGUCGGGUGUGAAAACUCCAGGCUCAACCUGGAGACGCCACCCGAUACUGCCAUGGCUAGAGUCCGGUAGGGGACCACGGAAUUCCUGGUGUAGCGGUGAAAUGCGCAGAUAUCAGGAGGAACACCGGUGGCGAAGGCGACGUCCUGGACCGGCAUUGACGCUGAGGCGCGAAAGCCAGGGGAGCAAACGGG
rnacentral:rRNA from 1 species